UUUCCGUAGGUGAACCUGCGGAAGGAUCAUUAACGAGUUUGAACGGGUUGUAGCUGGCCUUCAGAGGCAUGUGCACGCCCUGCUCAUCCACUCUACACCUGUGCACUUACUGUGGGUUUCGAUAGUCGUUGCGAGGCGACCUUCCAGUCGUCUUUGCGCGGUGAUUCGGGGCUCACGUUUUAUUACAAACGCUUCAGUAUCAGAAUGUAAACCGCGAUAUAAACGCAUCAUAUACAACUUUCAGCAACGGAUCUCUUGGCUCUCGCAUCGAUGAAGAACGCAGCGAAAUGCGAUAAGUAAUGUGAAUUGCAGAAUUCAGUGAAUCAUCGAAUCUUUGAACGCACCUUGCGCUCCUUGGUAUUCCGAGGAGCAUGCCUGUUUGAGUGUCGUGAAAUUCUCAACCUACAAACCCUUGCGGUUCUGUAGGCUUGGACUUGGAGGCUUGCCGGCUCCUAGUGGUCGGCUCCUCUCAAAUGCAUUAGCUCGAUUUCCUUGCGGAUCGGCUUUCGGUGUGAUAAUUGUCUACGCCGUGACCGUGAAGCGUUUGGAGGGCUUCUAACCGUCUCGUGAGAGACAGCUUCAUUGACAUCUGACCUCAAAUCAGGUAGGACUACCCGCUGAACUUAA
rnacentral:rRNA from 1 species